rnacentral:rRNA from 1 species
CAUGCAAGUCGAGCGGUAACAGAGAGUAGCUUGCUACUUUGCUGACGAGCGGCGGACGGGUGAGUAAUGCUUGGGAAUAUGCCUUUGAGUGGGGGACAACAGUUGGAAACGACUGCUAAUACCGCAUAAUGUCUACGGACCAAAGGGGGGGAUUCUUCGGAACCUCUCGCUCAUAGAUUAGCCCAAGUGAGAUUAGCUAGUUGGUAAGGUAAUGGCUUACCAAGGCGACGAUCUCUAGCUGGUUUGAGAGGAUGAUCAGCCACACUGGGACUGAGACACGGCCCAGACUCCUACGGGAGGCAGCAGUGGGGAAUAUUGCACAAUGGGCGAAAGCCUGAUGCAGCCAUGCCGCGUGUGUGAAGAAGGCCUUCGGGUUGUAAAGCACUUUCAGUUGUGAGGAAAGGGAUGUAGUUAAUAACUGCAUUCUGUGACGUUAGCAACAGAAGAAGCACCGGCUAACUCCGUGCCAGCAGCCGCGGUAAUACGGAGGGUGCGAGCGUUAAUCGGAAUUACUGGGCGUAAAGCGUGCGUAGGCGGUUUGUUAAGCAAGAUGUGAAAGCCCCGGGCUCAACCUGGGAACUGCAUUUUGAACUGGCAGGCUAGAGUAUUGUAGAGGGUGGUGGAAUUUCCAGUGUAGCGGUGAAAUGCGUAGAGAUUGGAAGGAACAUCAGUGGCGAAGGCGGCCACCUGGACAAAUACUGACGCUGAGGCACGAAAGCGUGGGGAGCAAACAGGAUUAGAUACCCUGGUAGUCCACGCCGUAAACGAUGUCAACUAGCUGUCUGUAGACUUGAUCUGUGGGUAGCGCAGCUAACGCGAUAAGUUGACCGCCUGGGGAGUACGGCCGCAAGGUUAAAACUCAAAUGAAUUGACGGGGGCCCGCACAAGCGGUGGAGCAUGUGGUUUAAUUCGAUGCAACGCGAAGAACCUUACCAUCCCUUGACAUCCAGAGAAAUUUUCUAGAGAUAGA